UUUCUCACUACUUUCUGGUGUAUGGAUGAACCUUUGACAGUGUUAUCCCCAAAGAGCCGUCUGGAGCACUUUCCUCCAGGCUCCACACAGCAUCUUCGCUGUGCUCCCCAUUUCUGGUGUCCAAACCCUAUAUGAAAACACAGUCCUGGCAGGCAACUUGUGGACUCUUCUCUC